GUGUGUGUGUGUGUGUGUGUGUGUGUGUGUGUGUGUGUGUAUAUAUAUAUAUAUAUAUAUAUACACACACACACACAUACACACACACACACACAC